rnacentral:misc_RNA from 1 species
UAUAUAUAUAUAUAGGCUACUAAAGAUAUCAAUAAUUAGAGGAGUUGCAAGCAAAGCCCCAGAAUAGGAAAGAGUAAUGGCAACUUCUUUCAAAUUCAUUGAUAAGUAAGGAAAUCAAUAGACAUCUGCACAAUGCAUAAAGCAGCAAGUACAAAGGGUAAAAUUUUGAUAGCUUAUCAUAUGUUUCAUCAGAUAAGGAAUUUACUCCCAUGGAAUGGGGUAAUAAUUGGAAGGAGUAAGGUGAUCAAGUGCAGAAUAACAAUGCUGAUCACAAGUAGUAGAAAAGGAAAGAAAUAAGCAUCAGAAUAAUAUCCUACC